rnacentral:guide_RNA from 1 species
AAUAUAUACAACAGCGGUGAUUUAGUGUAGAUUAAUUUGUGAAGUGAU